rnacentral:lncRNA from 1 species
CUUGAAGCUGGGUCCGGGCAAGCUCUGUGGUUUGCCACUGUGUCCCUCACACCCUGAUGACCUUUUAAGCUUUUCAAGGCCUCCCAUAAGAGAAAACUAAGGAGGAGAGAGAAUUCAAACGGGCAGCAAGUGGCCUGGGAGGGGUGGGGAAGAGAGCAGGGCCAGACAGACCUUGGCCUCUGCGGUCUGUGCGGGCCAUUUAUCCUCACCUUCUCCCCCUCUCCCCCCUCCCAUCUCAGCAGUGGGGGAAAAGGGCAGACAAGCCAGAAGAAAAUAUUUUUCUCUGUAAACCAGACAGGACCUAGGGUGGGCAUCAGCUGCUGGAUUUCUCCCCAGCCCACUCUGGACCACAAACAGCCUACGCACCAAGCCGGCACCAGCCUACCCACCCUGUUGGGACCGGAACAAGCCAGGCCAGAGCCUCGGAUGGGACCCGGGGCCUGGGUCCCACCUUCCCAAGGCACCUAUUUCCUGCGUUUCCUCCCCAACCCCCCGUUCCCGGGUGAAGGCCUCCGCCAGGUCCGUCUCCCAGGGGGCCCAGCUCAGGGACAUCGUGACACUGCCCCGGUGAUGCUCAAGAACCCCGGCGCUUGCAAAGCACCCGCAGUCGCGCGCUCACCUCUCUGCAGAUCCUCCUGACAUCGGCAAAGCUAUCUGGGGAAUUCUGGCAGGCGGAACUCCCUGUUUC